AGUGAACGCUGGCGGUAGGCCUAACACAUGCAAGUCGAACGGCAGCACAGUAAGAGCUUGCUCUUACGGGUGGCGAGUGGCGGACGGGUGAGGAAUACAUCGGAAUCUACUUUUUCGUGGGGGAUAACGUAGGGAAACUUACGCUAAUACCGCAUACGACCUACGGGUGAAAGCAGGGGAUCUUCGGACCUUGCGCGAUUGAAUGAGCCGAUGUCGGAUUAGCUAGUUGGCGGGGUAAAGGCCCACCAAGGCGACGAUCCGUAGCUGGUCUGAGAGGAUGAUCAGCCACACUGGAGCUGAGACACGGUCCAGACUCCUACGGGAGGCAGCAGUGGGGAAUAUUGGACAAUGGGCGCAAGCCUGAUCCAGCCAUACCGCGUGGGUGAAGAAGGCGUUCGGGUUGUAAAGCCCUUUUGUUGGGAAAGAAAAGCAGCAGGUUAAUACCCCGCUGUUCUGACGGUACCCAAAGAAUAAGCACCGGCUAACUUCGUG
rnacentral:rRNA from 1 species